rnacentral:rRNA from 1 species
AGAGUUUGAUCCUGGCUCAGGACGAACGCUGGCGGCACGCUUAACACAUGCAAGUCGAACGAGAGAAGAGGAGCUUGCUUUUCUGAUCUAGUGGCGGACGGGUGAGUAACACGUGAGCAAUCUGCCUUUCAGAGGGGGAUACCGAUUGGAAACGAUCGUUAAUACCGCAUAACAUAAUUGAACCGCAUGAUUUGAUUAUCAAAGAUUUAUCGCUGAAAGAUGAGCUCGCGUCUGAUUAGCUAGUUGGUAAGGUAACGGCUUACCAAGGCGACGAUCAGUAGCCGGACUGAGAGGUUGAUCGGCCACAUUGGGACUGAGACACGGCCCAGACUCCUACGGGAGGCAGCAGUGGGGAAUAUUGCACAAUGGAGGAAACUCUGAUGCAGCGAUGCCGCGUGAGGGAAGAAGGUUUUAGGAUUGUAAACCUCUGUCUUCAGGGACGAAAAAAGACGGUACCUGAGGAGGAAGCUCCGGCUAACUACGUGCCAGCAGCCGCGGUAAUACGUAGGGAGCGAGCGUUGUCCGGAAUUACUGGGUGUAAAGGGAGCGUAGGCGGGAUCGCAAGUCAGAUGUGAAAACUAUGGGCUUAACCCAUAAACUGCAUUUGAAACUGUGGUUCUUGAGUGAAGUAGAGGUAAGCGGAAUUCCUAGUGUAGCGGUGAAAUGCGUAGAUAUUAGGAGGAACAUCAGUGGCGAAGGCGGCUUACUGGGCUUUAACUGACGCUGAGGCUCGAAAGCGUGGGGAGCAAACAGGAUUAGAUACCCUGGUAGUCCACGCCGUAAACGAUGAUUACUAGGUGUGGGGGGACUGACCCCUUCCGUGCCGAAGCAAACGCAAUAAGUAAUCCACCUGGGGAGUACGACCGCAAGGUUGAAACUCAAAGGAAUUGACGGGGGCCCGCACAAGCAGUGGAGUAUGUGGAUUAAUUCGAAGCAACGCGAAGAACCUUACCAGGUCUUGACAUCGUAUGCAUAGCUCAGAGAUGAGUGAAAUCUCUUCGGAGACAUAUAGACAGGUGGUGCAUGGUUGUCGUCAGCUCGUGUCGUGAGAUGUUGGGUUAAGUCCCGCAACGAGCGCAACCCUUACUGUUAGUUGCUACGCAAGAGCACUCUAGCAGGACUGCCGUUGACAAAACGGAGGAAGGUGGGGAUGACGUCAAAUCAUCAUGCCCCUUAUGACCUGGGCCUCACACGUACUACAAUGGCUGUCAACAGAGGGAAGCAAAGCCGCGAGGUGGAGCGAACCCCUAAAAGCAGUCUUAGUUCGGAUUGUAGGCUGCAACCCGCCUACAUGAAGUCGGAAUUGCUAGUAAUCGCAGAUCAGCAUGCUGCGGUGAAUACGUUCCCGGGCCUUGUACACACCGCCCGUCACGCCAUGGGAGUCGGUAACACCCGAAGCCUGUAGUCUAACCGCAAGGAGGACGCAGUCGAAGGUGGGAUUGAUGACUGGGGUGAAGUCGUAACAAGGUA